GAUGAACGCUGGCGGCGUGCCUAAUACAUGCAAGUCGAGCGAACAGACGAGGAGCUUGCUCCUCUGACGUUAGCGGCGGACGGGUGAGUAACACGUGGAUAACCUACCUAUAAGACUGGGAUAACUUCGGGAAACCGGAGCUAAUACCGGAUAAUAUAUUGAACCGCAUGGUUCAAUAGUGAAAGACGGUUUUGCUGUCACUUAUAGAUGGAUCCGCGCCGCAUUAGCGAGUUGGUAAGGUAACGGCUUACCAAGGCAACGAUGCGUAGCCGACCUGAGAGGGUGAUCGGCCACACUGGAACUGAGACACGGUCCAGACUCCUACGGGAGGCAGCAGUAGGGAAUCUUCCGCAAUGGGCGAAAGCUUGACGGAGCAACGCCGCGUGAGUGAUGAAGGUCUUCGGAUCGUAAAACUCUGUUAUUAGGGAAGAACAAAUGUGUAAGUAACUAUGCACGUCUUGACGGUACCUAAUCAGAAAGCCACGGCUAACUACGUG
rnacentral:rRNA from 1 species